rnacentral:rRNA from 1 species
UAGGGAAUCUUCGGCAAUGGACGAAAGUCUGACCGAGCAACGCCGCGUGAGUGAAGAAGGUUUUCGGAUCGUAAAACUCUGUUGGUAGAGAAGAACGUUGGUGAGAGUGGAAAGCUCAUCAAGUGACGGUAACUACCCAGAAAGGGACGGCUAACUACGUGCCAGCAGCCGCGGUAAUACGUAGGUCCCGAGCGUUGUCCGGAUUUAUUGGGCGUAAAGCGAGCGCAGGUGGUUUAUUAAGUCUGGUGUAAAAGGCAGUGGCUCAACCAUUGUAUGCAUUGGAAACUGGUAGACUUGAGUGCAGGAGAGGAGAGUGGAAUUCCAUGUGUAGCGGUGAAAUGCGUAGAUAUAUGGAGGAACACCGGUGGCGAAAGCGGCUCUCUGGCCUGUAACUGACACUGAGGCUCGAAAGCGUGGGGAGCAAACAGGAUUAGAUACCCUGGUAGUCCACGCCGUAAACGAUGAGUGCUAGAUGUAGGGAGCUAUAAGUUCUCUGUAUCGCAGCUAACGCAAUAAGCACUCCGCCUGGGGAGUACGACCGCAAGGUUGAAACUCUAAAGUGAAUUGAC